AACAUUAAUUUCAGAGAUAACAAUUCUCAUUAAUCAUCCAAGCAUCCAUUCUUAAUACUUCUUAGUAAGACAAAAACUUUAUCCACUACAAAUUACAAAAGUGAAUCAUCCAAACGUUCAUUCUUAAGUACAUCACCAACUAGUGUGAAAUAUAAAUCUAUCUGUUAAGAGAUACAAAAUGCAGGUCUUAACAUCAAUAUAUAACAUUAGACCUCCCAAAACACUCUAACUCUACUUGAUCAUCCUUCAGACUUCAACCCCUGUAAGGAAAACAAAACUAAAUGGCUGAGCUAAAGCUCAGUGAGGCUUGCCAAGCAAGUUACAUAAAAUAAACACUUAAAUCAGUACAAUUAAGCAAGUAGUACACAUUUCACUGUACAAUCACUUUCAUUAAGUAAUUGAGAAACACUUCGCUAAACAAUCACUUUUAAAAGGAUACGGUGCUCGCAUUAGAGCUACUUCAAUGUCAUUGAGCAUUCAUUUCAGUGUCAAGAGACAUUCAUUUCACUGUCAUUGUACAUUCAUUUCAAUAUCACUGAACAUUCUGCCAAUUCACUUCCUUAUGUCCUCCAAAACAAUAAACAAUUCACUACAUUCAAUAAUCAGUUCAAUAAUCUCCCAACCUCAUGAUAAUACUCGAGUAUAUCGAAACAUUUGCCCAAAGCUGCCGUUCUACCCGACCAAGCCCUUUGCUGGCUCGAAUAGUCCAUUGAAUAGAGGGUUUUCGGGCCCAAUUCAGCCAAUGUGAUAAAAUACACACACGGCUUACAGUCAUGCACACUUACAAUAUCACUUGAUCAAUUAUCAACCUUCAAACUCAACUAAGGCGAGUGCGAUAAAGUACACCCUCGGCUUAGAAGGCAAGGGACAAUUGAGAUACACUUUGCAAUGAAUCACUUAGCAAUAUUUCAUAAUAAGCACAUUUAUCACAUAAUUUCACUUAAGUAACAUAAACAGUUAAACAUAUAAAUUCGGAAACACUCACCGUAAUCAAAAAUUACACUUCGAUCUCGGAAUUGCUUUCUUGCACACCUCUAUCUCCUAAGACAAGUUAUAAUAGCCAUAAUCAUUUAACUACUCAUUUGGUGAGGUUCUAAAGUAUAAUCAACAUACGUGUUGUAUUCUAGCCUUAAGUCACCAUUCCAGCUGAAUUCUCAGCUAUUGCUUUGUUUAAAUGAGGCGACUAGUGCAUUUCUUACAUUCACUCGUCACUUCGACUUUUAGUUUUCAAAAGAGAGGAAGUUUAAGUGGCAAUUCCAGUAUUGUGACUUCAGUACUUUUAUACUGCUAGAUUUAUCGUACUAAAACUCAACAUUAACCUUUAAUAAGGUAAAUUUUAGAAAUAACUACCUUUAAGGUACUUUAUUGUCCUAUAAAUCUCUUUUACUUACUUAUGAUCAUGAGUAAAACUAGUUUAUUACCUUGACAGUGAACAUACAAUGCUUAUAAAGCCGUUUGAAUCAUGUUUUAUUUGUAUAUCUUUUCAUAUAAGUUUUAUAGCCUUUUAGAUCCCUAUAGUUGAUAUAACAACUGUUCUCAUCCAUUUAUCCAUUUAUCUUUAUGUCCGACUGCUAAUUACUCACCAAUUUAAGGUUUAAAUUACUAGAACUCAAGUCCCUUAGCUUGUCACACAAGAUGCAACAAUUCCAGCAACCUUCCUCACAUUUCUCUUCAAGAUUCAUCAAAUUUAUCAACUCAAACAAGGGAAAUAUUCAUGUAUACCAAAUUUAAGGUCUUGUAAGGUGUUUAAACUAAGGUUAAACUAUUUUCAUGCCAAAUUUAAAGAUUAAGGUUAGUGAACUUUUCAUUUCUUUCCUUUUAAGCUAAACCAGAUUCUAGUUUGCUUGUUGUUUAAAUUUGCUCCAAUUCACCAGCUUUUCAAGUGUUAAAAUCAAUAAGAUGUACAUGAAAACUAGGACAAGAUGUUAUAAGAUGUUUUACUUAAGAUUACAGCCAAUUAUCAUGGAAUUUUCGAAAUUAACAUGAGAGUUUCAGCCUUCACCCUCUCUCGGCCAGCAAAACAGAUUUUCCAGCAACAUUACUCCAAAAUUUUCAACAAGGUUUCCAUCCUUUGCUUGCUUUAAACACUAAACACUUAACAUACAUUCUGUCCAAUAUGAAAUGAAUCAUAUAACAGGUAAUUGCAGCAAAUUAUUCCACCAAGAAGUCCCCAUAAAUCUGUCAUCAGCUAACAUAUAAUCUUCCAGCAAUUUGACAGUUUAAAUGUGAAACUUUCUCCACAAAUUCUUCAUUUUUCCACUCCAGCUCAACAUGCAGAGUGUAGUUAUCAUGCUACGGUGUAUCUUGUGCAACAAUAUGAAAUUUACAGCCAAAGAUUCAAAGGGAAAGCUGGAUAAAAUUUUGUUUCCUUCUCUCGGCCAUGCUGAAAAAUUUCAGCAGCUUUCUUUCAACAUUUCAAGCCAAAUCUAUCAACAUUUUUACUAGUUCCAUAAAUAGAUAUCCUAUAAGAUCAGAGAUGAACCUAUUUCAUGCAUUCCUAGCAUAAUUCUCCAAAGGAAAUUCUGGUAACAAGCUGCAAUUCCAGGUCCACUCUCUCGGCCAUCACAGAGUUUUCUUGUAGCUCUUAAUCAGUCAUUAAACAGAAUUUUUCCUCAGCCAAAACUCAUUUUUCCUAGCUAAAACUUAACAUGCAGCUUAAGUAUUCAGUUAUACUAGAUAAUUAAAAGAUUGUUGCAGCAUUUUACCUGCCUUUUUCUAACAAUCGAAGCUGGAAAAGAAGAAACCCGCAGGCAGACUCCUUCCUCCUUCGUUUCCUCAUGAUGAAAGCUCCAAGUUCCCCUUUUUUCUACCUUACUCUCUAACUCAUUCGGUUGACUGGAAGGAAAGAAUGGAUUCAGAGAGCUCCCUCACUCUCACUCUUUCUCUCGGUUUUGGGUAUGGAAAAGGAAGAAAGCUUAGUACUCUGUUAUCUCUAUUUGUUUGCUCUCGGUUGAAGUCCAAAAUGGCAGAGCACUUCCUUUCCCUUGGUCAUUACUUAACUCAGCAAAUGUUCCACCGCCCAAACUGUCAGACAAUUUCUACUCCUUUUCCUUUCCACCGCUUGAUCUAUUAGAGGCUUGCAUUCGGUUCCUAUCACAACAAAUCUUACUUUCUCUAGGUUUUGUUUCUGAAUUCUGAUAGUUUGUGUGAUGGCUGCAUAGUAGUUAGUCUUGAAGUUUGAGGUCGGUUUGGUCUUUUUGUUGUAGUUUAUUUGCUCACCAAGGCCUAAAAUUUUAUAAUUUCAUGCAUGGACUCCUAACUUCGUUUGUAUUUUAGUGAAUAGUUUUCUUACAUUGAUUUUGACACAUUUAACUUUAAGAAAAACUUAUUAGACAUGUACUUGUUAAACUUUUAGUGUAUGUUACGUGUCUAGUAAUAUUUGCAAAUAACAUAAUUUACGAUAUGCACGUCAUCUAUUUAUUUAAUUCGUAAAAUUUUUCUAUACCAUUCUAGGAUAUUUCCUAAAUUCUCAAUUUUAUAAAAAUUCAAUUAGGCAUUUAAUUUAACCACUUAUUCGUUAUAUGUUAUAUUUUCAAUAUCAAGGUAAAUAAAAUAAAAUAAAUGCAAAUUACACGUAAUUUUUCAAGUUCUCACAUUACCUGUGACAGCCCGGUCUCCUCCUAGGGCAUACCCUAGAAGUUAGUGGACCGCCCGCCUGACUCUCACCAGGACUUAUUCACUAACAUUAACUUCAAAAAUAACAAUUCUCAUUAAUCAUCCAAACAUCCAUUCUUAAUACUUCUUAGUAAGACAAAAGCUUUAUCCACUACAAAUUACAAAAGUGAAUCAUCCAAACGUUCAUUCUUAAGUACAUCACCAACUUGUGUGAAAUAUAAAUCUAUCCGUUAAGAGAUACAAAAUGCAGGUCUUAACAUCAAUAUAUAACAUUAGACCUCCCAAAACACUCUAACUCUACUUGAUCAUCCUUCAGACUUCAACCCCUGUAAGGAAAACAAAACUAAAGGGCUGAGCUAAAGCUCAGUGAGGUUCGCCGAGCAAGUUACAUUUAAUAAACACUUAAAUCAGUACAAUUAAGCAAGUAGUACACAUUUCACUAUACAAUCACUUUCAUUAAAUAAUUGAGGAAACACUUCACUAAAUAAUCACUUUUAAAAGGAUACGGUGCUUGCAUUAGAGCCACUUCAAUGUCAUUAAGCAUUCAUUUCUGUGUCAAGAGACACUCAUUUCACUGUCAUUGUACAUUUAUUUCAAUAUCAUUGGACAUUCCGCCAAUUCACCUCCUUAUGUCAUCUAAAACAAUAAACAAUCCACUACAUUCAAUAAUCAGUUCAAUAAUCUCCCAACCUCAUGGUAAUACUCAAGUAUAUCGAAACAUUUACCCAAAGCUACCGUCCUACCCGACCAAGCCCUUUGCUGGCUUGAAUAGUCCGUUGAACAGAGGGUUUUGGGGCCCAGUUCAGCCGAUGCGGCGAGGCAUACAUACGGCUUACAUUCAUACACACUUACAGUAACAUUCAGUCAAUUAUCGACCUUCAAGCUCAACUAAAUCGAGUGCAAUAAAGUACACUCUCGACUUAGAAGGCAAGGGAUAAUUGAGAUACACUUUACAAGGAAUCAUUUAGUAAUAAUUCAUAAUAAGCACAUUUGUCACAUAAUUUCACUGAGAUACACAUAAACAGUUAAACACAUAAAUUCGGAAAACACUCCCAAAUUAUCCAAAUAAUUUACUCUCCAGUCUCGGGUUUGUUUCCUGACUCGCAGCUACUUCCUGAGAUAAAUAUAUAAUUCCAUGGUAAAUUUAUAAUUUGUAGAUGUUCACCAAUUAUUUAAAUCAUUCGAAUUAGGUUUGAGUUUAAAAUAUAAAAUAUAACAUAUUCAACAUUUAUUCUACCUUAUUGUUUAAACUAUUAAAAUCAAGUCUGACCUUAAAAUACAAAAUAUACGCAAUAUUUAUUCCCCAAUUUAUUUCGAGACUUAUUGACUUUAUUAUCUUAAAUCAAGAAACAUACAUACUUUCCAAAUUAAUUAUAUAUAAAAGGUUUACAUUAGGAUUAAAACAUUUGUCAGGAUCAAGCGCUUACCAUUGCACCAAAAGCUAUAGCUGUUAGUGAAGGCGCAACUUUAUUUCCUUAACCACAAUGGCAGUGCAAAGCACCGUACCACGCUCGGCCAGCAUGAGGGUCUGCACCCCUGGGUGCCACGGGCUGGGCGGUUAGUCCCGUCGAACCGGGAUCUGAGGGAUGUUGCUGAUUAGGCCAACAAUCCCUCCCCCAGCAACAGCCAGGGAGAUUCGAACCCGCGACCUCGCUCUGAUACCACUUGUCAGGAUCAAGCGCUUACCAUUGCACCAAAAGCUAUAGCUGUUAGUGAAGGCGCAACUUUAUUUCCUUAACCACAAUGGCAGCGCAAAGCACCGUACCACGCUCGGCCAGCAUGAGGGUCUGCACCCCUGGGUGCCACGGGUUGGGCGGUUAGUCCCGUCGAACCGGGAUCUGAGGGAUGUUGCUGAUUAGGCCAACAACAUUUUCUACUCAAGAUUCUAAGUUUAAAACUUAGGAAUAUUCCAUUGGUUCCCUUUUUAAAUUAGUUAAACUCUAAGUUAUUUGUAAAUUAAAUUUUAUUCCACUACACUCAUCCCUCAAAUUUAUAGGUUUUAACAUAUGUGUUAAGACAAUAUUAAGUGAUUAGAAGCCAAUUUAGGUAUAUAACUAUCAUGAGUUUUCUUCUCAUUUGCUUUAAUUUAACUCUACUCGUGGAACUAGAUAUAGUCGUUAAAUCUCAGAGCAACCUUAGCUAUCAUUUAUGAAAGCUUACAGGGUUGGAAAUUAGAUGAAAUGCUGUUCAAAAAUAGGUUUCCUCACUGCCAGCAUCAAGUAGAAUGCAUUCGGAAAAACAAGAGAGAGGCAACGACAAAGGCAACUUUGCCAAUCUCUGGUGUUUUGAUCAUAAUUGGAGCUACACUUAUGGGUUUGAGGCAAAUUUUAUAGCGUCAACGUUUCUUAUGAAAGCAUCGACACCCAGUUCUCACAUUUUCAGGGUAAAAAAUGGCCGGACAAAAGCACAUUCUGCUUCACUCCCUCGGCCAACCAACCUGCACUCAUUUCUACUUUAGUAUUUAGUUGAGUUUCUACUGGUUCCAAUCUUCCUUGUUGAGGUUUAAGGUCCGUAUGACAUGUUACAUUUACUACACAGGUUUAGAAGUUAAAGUUUAUAGAGGAUCACCAAAGUUUCUUUCUUCUCCCCCCCUCGGUUGCAGCAAAUACUUUUUCCAGUAAAACAGUGGCUUAUCUUUUGACAUUUUCUCGCCUUUACUUCCUCAGUUUCUGGUCUCAAUCACUUAUGCAGAGGACACUCAAUCUACUGCAGGUUAUCCUAUGCUAAGCAGAGUCGUUCAUGACCAAAAUUCAGAGGAAAGAUGGGCUAAAUCCCGUGCCUGAGUUUAGCAGCAAAACCUGAUGCAUGGCAGCAUGCAUCAGACUCCAUCGAAUUCAGUUUUAUGUCCCAACUGAACGUAUAGAGGGUAAUGACUUAGCUAAAAAUUAUCCUAAAGAAAGGAUGACAGUUUAUGAUCAGAAUUCACGAGAAUACUGAAGAAAUAUCUGUUGCAUGCACUUCUUAAUGUUAUCAUCCCAAGAAAAAUUUGAUAACAGUUGCAGGUUCAGGCUUUAAUCUCAGUUUUCUGCAAUUUCCCUUUUCCUGCAAUUUUACAGUUGCUGCCCGACAUUUACUUCAGCCACAAGCUCAAAUUCAUAGCUAAAUUCGACAUGCAGCUGGUGUUUAUCCAAUUAUACCAACUAAACAGCGAGUUGUUAUAAAAUCUUACCUGUUCCCCUUAAAGUUCGAUGUUGCAGGCUGCUCAAGUUUCGGUUUCAGCUCCUCAAUUCCUAGCACUCGAUUCUCCCGUUCCUUGCAGUCCCUUCCUCAGCACUGGCUAAUUGAUUAUGAUGCUUACCUAAGUUGUAACUGGUUUCUCUUAACCUUGCUCUCUCUCUCUUUUCUCACUCACUCGAGUCUGUUUUUGAAAGAAAGUAAGAAAGGACGACAGCUUUGGUUUUGCUCUCAGCCACCGCCAAUUUUUGUUUCUUUACGCUGUUCUCAUUCGGUUCUUGCUUAUUCAGCAAUUUGGUGAUGCAUUCCCUCCUGACAGCUGUCUCAAUUCACCUCCCAAUCUCAGUU
rnacentral:lncRNA from 1 species